AUACGGAGGGUCCAAGCGUUAUCCGGAAUCAUUGGGUUUAAAGGGUCCGCAGGCGGUCAAUUAAGUCAGAGGUGAAAGCCCAUCGCUCAACGAUGGAACUGCCUUUGAUACUGGUUGACUUGAGUUAUACGGAAGUAGAUAGAAUAAGUAGUGUAGCGGUGAAAUGCAUAGAUAUUACUUAGAAUACCGAUUGCGAAGGCAGUCUACUACGUAUAUACUGACGCUGAGGGACGAAAGCGUGGGGAGCGAACAGGAUUAGAUACCCUGUAGUCCC
rnacentral:rRNA from 1 species